rnacentral:rRNA from 1 species
UACGGAGGGUGCAAGCGUUAUCCGGAUUCACUGGGUUUAAAGGGUGCGUAGGUGGGCAGUUAAGUCAGUGGUGAAAUCCUGUCGCUUAACGAUAGAAUUGCCAUUGAUACUGCAGGGCUUGAGUACAGUUGCCGUUGGCGGAAUAUGACAUGUAGUGGUGAAAUACAUAGAUAUGUCAUAGAACACCGAUUGCGAAGGCAGCUGACGAAACUGUAACUGACACUGAGGCUCGAAAGUGUGGGGAUCAAACAGG